rnacentral:rRNA from 1 species
AUGAACGCUGGCGGCGUGCCUAAUACAUGCAAGUCGAGCGAGCGGACGAGAAGCUUGCUUCUCUGAUGUUAGCGGCGGACGGGUGAGUAACACGUGGAUAACCUACCUAUAAGACUGGGAUAACUUCGGGAAACCGGAGCUAAUACCGGAUGAUAUUUUGAACCGCAUGGUUCAAAAGUGAAAGACGGUCUUGCUGUCACUUAUAGAUGGAGCCGCGCUGCAUUAGCUAGUUGGUAAGGUAACGGCUUACCAAGGCAACGAUGCAUAGCCGACCUGAGAGGGUGAUCGGCCACACUGGAACUGAGACACGGUCCAGACUCCUACGGGAGGCAGCAGUAGGGAAUCUUCCGCAAUGGGCGAAAGCCUGACGGAGCAACGCCGCGUGAGUGAUGAAGGUCUUCGGAUCGUAAAACUCUGUUAUUAGGGAAGAACAUAUGUGUAAGUAACUGUGCACAUCUUGACGGUACCUAAUCAGAAAGCCACGGCUAACUACGUG